CCCAUGGCAACCCAGAAGGCCUCACUCCCAGACUCCUUGCGGAGCUCGCCGCCUGAUUCUAGGCUGGUCACUACUCCGAGCCUGUGACGUUUGCGGCAGCCAGGCCGUCGACGAUGCCCAGUGAAACUCUCUGGGAAGUUGCAAAAGCUGAAGUGGAAAAAAGGGGAAUUAAUGGAAGUGAAGGUGAUGGAGCUGAAAUUGCAGAAAAAUCUGUUUUCUUCAUUGGCAGUAAAAAUGGGGGAAAGACUACUAUUAUUCUAAGGUGUCUUGACAGAGAUGAACCACCAAAACCAACCUUAGCUUUGGAAUAUACAUAUGGAAGAAGAGCAAAAGGGCACAACAGACCAAAAGAUAUCGCUCACUUUUGGGAACUCGGUGGAGGAACCUCUUUAUUGGACUUAAUCAGCAUACCCAUCACAAGUGACACCUUACGGAUGUUUUCUCUUGUUCUCGUUCUGGAUCUUUCAAAACCUAAUGAUCUCUGGCCCACCAUGGAAAAUCUCUUGCAAGCCACAAAAAGCCAUGUAGACAAAGUGAUAAUGAAACUGGGAAAGACAAAUGCUAAAGCAGUUUCUGAAAUGAGACAGAAGAUCUGGAAUAAUAUGCAGAAGGAUCAUCCUGAUCGUGAAUUAAUUGACCCAUUUCCAGUACCUAUGGUCAUAAUUGGAAGUAAAUAUGAUGUUUUUCAGGAUUUUGAGUCUGAGAAGAGAAAGGUGAUAUGCAAGACACUUCGAUUUGUUGCACAUUAUUAUGGAGCAUCAUUAAUGUUUACCAGUAAAUCAGAAGCUCUAUUACUAAAAAUACGUGGAGUUAUCAACCAGUUGGCAUUUGGCAUUGACAAAAGCAAAUCAAUAUGUGUGGAUCAGAAUAAACCGCUGUUUAUCACAGCAGGAUUGGAUUCUUUCGGUCAAAUAGGAUCUCCUCCUGUUCCUGAAAAUGACAUUGGAAAGCUUCAUGCCCACUCACCAAUGGAGUUGUGGAAAAAAGUGUAUGAAAAGCUCUUUCCACCAAAGAGUAUUAACACGCUGAAAGAUAUGAAGGACCCUGCGAGAGAUCCUCAGUAUGCUGAAAGUGAAGUCGAUGAGAUGAGAAUUCAGAAGGAUCAGGCACAUCUAAGGAGAUAACCUAUCAAGAAGCAGGACAAAACAUCAUGUGUUGCGGAUAACCAGGAUUAUUUCCAAGGUGGGAUAGCCUUUAAGAAGCCAUUCCAAUCUGUAGAUUUGUGUACCUGCUAGCCAAGUUCAUUUUGAGCACAGCUUGGCGGCCUGUUAUAGUGAAGACCUUAAUUUAACAGUUCUCUCAAGAGGACGAUUACUGUCUAUUUAUUUUGAUGAGGUCUUCCUCUGUCACCCAGGCUAGAGUGCAAUGGCAUGAUCACGACUCCCUGCAGCUUUGACCUACUGGGCUCAAGCGAUCCUCUCACCUCAGCCUCCCAAGUAGCUGGGACCACAGUGACCAAGCACCAUCUGAAGAACAGGCAGUCCUGGUCUACCACAGUGCAAAGAAAGGAUCCAGAUGCAGUUUGUCCUCUCCAGCUGCAUGAGUGGAGAGGUUUCCCCAGGUGAUGGGGAAAAUGACCAAACCUGGCAGAGGAUUGACUACUCUGUUUUGAUACUCCCUUCCCCACAACAUAUACACUUUUGAGUUUAUCAUUCAAAUUCCUAUUUUAAUUCCUGCCAUUUCAUGAACACCUGUGGUCAUACCAAAACUCAUUGGCUUUCCCCAGCCCACACAGUGGUAUUGCCCUGGUGAGAAGAAAUGAUUGGCAGGGCAAGGCUCCAUAUUCAAGGAAAACCCCAAUGGAACACUUCAAAACCAAUGCAAUGCUUCCGGGUCCACGAGCUGUUUUGUUUGGAUGAUGGAAUCGCAUCAGGAAAUGAACUAUACAGCAUUUCCGAAAAAACUGGGUCCUCAGUUUGAAAAACCUGUGAUUUCAGUUGUACACAAACCCCUUUCCAAAUGAGGACUGUGAAGAAAGGGCCCAAAGUAUCUGCAGACACACAGAAGAUGCCCAGACAGCAGCUAGUAACAGUUCUGGGUGCCACUUACUAGGAUCCUGGAGCAGUUGGGCUGCGAUGGAGACCCGGCGCCGCUCACCAGUGGAAAUGCCCCCCAAGCUGUAGUUGCCAAUCAGUCGGUCUGCCACAUGGCUCAGACUCAGCUCUGCCAUGACGGCCUCCACCUGCAGGAGACACAAAUUACAGGAAGGCUGGGAGUCGCUGUGGCUGCUAUUUCAAUUCAUGGGCUGGGGAGGACAUGAAAGAGGCAGCGCACCCCCCAAGAAUCCAAGGGCCACUUCCAGACUCACCACACCCUGGGGAAAGCAUGUCUUUGAUAAUAAUAUGAUCCAAUUCGGCUUAAAUCGUAAUACAUGUGUCAGAUUUAAAUAAAUAAUAUGAAUUUUUUAAAACGUCCCCAGAGGCUGGGUGCAGUGGCUCAUGCCUGUAAUCCCAACACUUUGGAAGGCUGAGGAGGGAGAAUUGCUUGAGGCCAGGAGUUUG